AGAGUUUGAUCCUGGCUCAGGAUGAACGCUGGCGGUAUGCUUAACACAUGCAAGUCGAACGGAGUAGCAAUACUUAGUGGCGGACGGGUGAGUAACGCGUAAGAAUCUGCCUACAGGACGGGGAUAACGUUGGGAAACUGACGCUAAAACCCGAUGUGCCGAGAGGUGAAAUAUUUAUAGCCUGUAGAUGAGCUUGCGUCUGAUUAGCUAGUUGGAGUGGUAACGGCACACCAAGGCGACAAUCAGUAACUGGUCUGAGAGGAUGACCAGUCACACUGGGACUGAGACACGGCCCAGACUCCUACGGGAGGCAGCAGUGGGGAAUUUUCCGCAAUGGGCGCAAGCCUGACGGAGCAAUACCGCGUGAGGGAUGAAGGUUCGUGGAUUGUAAACCUCUUUUUUCAGGGAAGAUAAUGACGGUACCUGAAGAAUAAGCAUCGGCUAACUCCGUGCCAGCCGCCGCGGUAAUUC
rnacentral:rRNA from 1 species